UACGUAGGGUGCGAGCGUUGUCCGGAAUUAUUGGGCGUAAAGGGCUCGUAGGCGGUUUGUCGCGUCGGGAGUGAAAUCAUCUGGCUUAACUGGGUGCUUGCUUUCGAUACGGGCAGACUAGAGGUAUGCAGGGGAGAACGGAAUUCCUGGUGUAGCGGUGAAAUGCGCAGAUAUCAGGAGGAACACCGGUGGCGAAGGCGGGAUCCUGGGCCAGUACUGACGCUGAGGAGCGAAAGCGUGGG
rnacentral:rRNA from 1 species